UGAAAAACAAGCGACACAAAAUAAGAAUACAUAACAUUUAGAAUUUCUAUAAAAUCUUAAUAAUAUUUUUGUAUACAUAUAUAUAACUACUUAUAUAUAUAUUUUUACAUUUUACAUUUUACAUUUUUUAUAUUUAUUUAUUAUAUUAUAUUUUUAUUACAUUUUCAAAAACGAUUUUUAAAUAAAUAAAUAAUGAAACUUUAUUAAAAGUAUUUUUUUUUAUAAGAUAAUAUUUAGAUAAUUUUUAUUUAAAAAAAUCUUAGAAAUUUCUAUGAAAAAUGAAAAAGCUUAUCGGAAAAUGCCAUCGAGGAUGAAUUUUUUAGAUCAUUUUGGCCAUAGAAUGAAAAGUAAAGUUUUAUUCGUGUCAAGAUAAUUAGAUUGGCUUCGAAAUAACUGAUGAAAUUAAAAUUAAAAAAACUGUUAAGCAGAAUUAUGGAAAAUCAUGAUUCUAGAUGCAAAGAUAUCAAAUACAGAAAAAUUCAAUUGUCAAUCAAUGUGCGAUAGUUGGAGAAAAUUCUUUUUGAUUUGAUUGAAGAAUUUUAAUGUUUUUUAAAUAGCAAAAAACUAUUAUGACUAAUUUUAUGUCAUAUCUUUAUCUUUGUAAUCAGUUUUUCUACAUUAAUAUAAAAUGUAAUCGUGUGUAAGAAUUUAGCAUCUAUGUUUCUUUUUCCUUGAUAUAAAGGAAUUCAAAUGAUAUUUAUAUUGCUGUUAUUUUCAUUGUUUAAUUCUGUAUAUGUAUAUGUCUCCUAUAUUUUUAUUGUGAUUUCAUAAUUGUUGAUUGAAUUUCUAUUAUAAUCAUGAAGUUUGAAUAUUUUUAAUAUUUUUAAAACUAUCAGUGUCAAUAUUUUUAAAAUUAUCAAUGCUGACAUAUUUCAAUCUAAUAUUAUCUCUGCAAUGAAUAUGGAUAUUGUUUUGUUAUGUUAUUGUCAAAGGAAUUUGAUUAUGUAUAUUGUCCUAUCUACUUGAUUUUUGAUAAAUCAUCUAGGUAUGUUUUAAUCAACCAGAGAAUUAUUUUCUUUGAUUCGUAUUCAAUAAUUGUAAUUCAUUUAAUAAUAAUAAGGAGCUUUAAAAGGUAACAUAGAUUUUUUAGAAUAAAUUUCUUUGAAUUUAUUAGAGAAUAUUAUAUUAUUGAAAUUUGCAAAAAUGGAAAAUAUUUUUAAAAUGUAUUUGAAGGUUAAGUAUUUAUACCUGUAGCUAUUCUCAAUAUCGUAUUGAAUCAAUUAUUUUUAUAAUACUUUGCUAAGCUAUAAAUAGUUGAAUCAUAACUGAUUUUUGUAUCCUAUAUAUUACAUGCAAUAAAAUUUUUUUUCAAUUAUUAUUCAGUAAUAUUAUGUUUAAUUUUGUAAAUAUUAGAUAUUUUAUGUAUGUAUUCAUAUUAAUUUUUGUCUAGUUUUAACAGUUUAAUGUUAUUUAUUGUUCAUCAGUUUUAUUCAUUUAUUUUUAUUUUAUAUUAAAUUUUAAUUUAGUUUCUCCCAUAAAAUUAAUUUAAUUUGAGUUGUAACUUUUGUUGUAAUUUGAGUAUUUUAACUUUUAAUGAAAUGGAUGCAUUGGUAUUUCUAAAAAGAAAAUUUGAGAACUGAUAUUGUGAGAUCACUCAAAUUUAAAAAUUUUUGUAAGUAAAUGAAUAUAAUAUUAAGAUUUUUAACAUGAUUUGUACCAAAUGAUUAUAAAAUCAGCAGAUAAAAUUGGGACUGAUAAAUCUUUAUGAUGUUUCAAUCAGAAAGUGUCAUUUCUGAUUUUUAGUAGAUUUUUAAAGUAUUCUAUUUUAAGGUUUUUAAGGUAUUUUUUUAAGGUUUGAUGUAAAUCUAUUAAUUUAAUCAUAGAUUUGUAUUGAUCUAUAAUGUAAGAAAAUUUAUUAUGAAGAUUAGCAUGAAUUCGUUAAUAUUUAAGUUAGAAAGAAUUUGAAGUUUUUAAAUAUAUUGUAUAUUUUUUUCAUUAUUAAGAUAUAAUGAUGAAAUGUUCAUGAUAUAUUUGUUUCUAUAUUAAUUAAAAUUAUUCUGAAUUUAUACUAUUAUUCAGAAUCUAUAUUAAAUUGAUGUUACUCAUGUCUAAAUACUGAUAUCUAAAUUAGAAUCUUCUAUUAACAAUUUUUUUUAAUAAUUUGCACAUAUUAAGUAUAAUUUUUAAAAACAAAUGAUCUUUCUGAUUUAGUGUUGUUAGGCUUUAGAAGAAGUAUCACUAUGAUUUUUAUAUUAUAUAAACAAUUUUUUUAUUUUUUAUUAUUACUAUUAUUUUCAUAUAUUGCUAUUUUUUUUAUAAAUUAUAAUAAUUGAACGAUAUUUUAAAUUUUCAAUAUGUAAUUUUUAUUUGAAUAGAAUAUUUGAAUAAAAAUAUAGAAUAUAGAAUAUUUGAAUAGAAGGAUCAUUUUUCAUGUUUUUAAAAGUUAUUAGAUAAUGAAUAUAUUUUCAGAACUGUUCUAACAGUAUAUUUCACAUUCACUAAAAAAUUUGUAUAUUAUAAAAUUUAUUUAAUUGUAUAAUUGUAAAGUUUUUACUUAAUUAUUUCAAUAGAAUUUUGAGAUUCUUUCGAAUUUAAACACAAUGUAAAUCGAAUUAGCUUUAUUAAUCCAACUUAUAAGUAGCUUUGGAUAAUUUUGAAUUAUUAAUUCAUUAUUGGCAUAUAACAAUAAAACAAAAUUUUCAUCAGAUAUUAUAUGAAUUUUGAAAAUUAUAUUUUUUUCAAUAAAAAUUGUGAUUCUUGAUAUAUCACAUAUUAAUUUUAUAAGAAUUAAAAAAAGUAAUAUAUUGUUACAAAAAAUUAUUUUGUACCAAAUAUUUCAAAUGCGAUUUGCAAAAAAACCGUUUUGAAAGAAAAACAAAAAGAAAUUCAUGAUACUAUGACAAUAAGAAUAUAUUAUUGUUCACAUUGUUUAUUCAUAAUUACAAUGAAUUUUAAAUUUUAAAUACUUUAUAUUAUUGCUUUAUUUUUCCAAACUUUGUAUUUUUAUAAUGAAAAAAUUUAUUAUAAUAAUUUGAUUUAUUAUUUAAAAUAUCCGAAAAAUAUGAAAACGCCAAUUAAUUGGAGAUUUCUAAAAUAAUUUCGAGCAAUUAUUUUCUUUAUAAAAAUUUUCAUUAAAACUUUACUAACGAAUUAUUAAUAAAAAACUGACUAAUCAUGUUGUCAAAGCAUAAGUUACUUAAAACAUUCUAUUAACUAUAUGCUAUUACAAAUGAUUACAAUUAAUCAUUGUUGCAAUUAAUUGAAUGAUAAAUGCAAUUGAUCUGAUGAUAUAUUACCUUCAUGUGUAUUUUAAUAAAUUUUUUGAUAAUGUUUUAAUAUUAUGCAAAUCUGUCAAAGAAUAUUAUGCAAAGAAUAAUAAUAAAUUUAAAAAUAAGAAUAUAUAUCAAAAUACCAUUAAUAUUAAGAAAAGAUAUCCAGAAAAAAAGAUUUCAAGAAUUUUUUUUGUCUGAUUUUAUCUAUUUAUUUGGUCAAUUUUUUUUUAAUUCAAUGUAGUUCAUGUAUAAUUAUUUAUUUUUUAUUCUAAAUAUGUAUUUUUUAUUAAUAAAAAAUAUUUAUUAUAUAUGUAACACAGUUUCUUAGACAUAUUCCUUCAAUUUGUUGUUUCUUAGUUGGCGGUAUAUAGCCAACAUUAUUUUUGUGUCUAGAUUCAAUCAACAAAUAUUUUUCGUUAAUAGUUCGUUAAUAACAAAAAGUAAUAAAAAUUUUUAUAGAAAUAUAAAAGCAUAGGAAAAUAUUAUUUGAAAUUAUCUAUAGCAAUUUCUGGAUAUGUUUCAACAUUUUUCGUACAACUAAUUUUUUCGUCCUACUUUACUGCAUGAUGUAGCGAGUAAAUAUAAAAAGUAUUCAGUUGGAAGUUUCGAAGAUAAUUGUUGUGUAUAUGUAUUCAAUAAAUCAUGCGUUUCUUCUUCGUAAUCAAAAUAAAUAUUUGAUAUACCAA